UACGGAGGGUGCAAGCGUUAUCCGGAUUCACUGGGUUUAAAGGGUGCGCAGGUGGCUUGGCAAGUUUGAUGUGAAAGCUCAGGGCUUAACCCUGAAAUGGCAUUGAAUACUGUUGAGCUGGAGGUUUGGAGGGGGGACUGGAAUUCUUGGUGUAGCAGUGAAAUGCGUAGAUAUCAGGAGGAACACCGGUGGCGAAGGCGGGUCUCUGGGCCGAUACUGACGCUGAGGAGCGAAAGCAUGGGGAGCGAACAGG
rnacentral:rRNA from 1 species